UACAGAGGUGCCAAGCGUUAGGCGGAAUCACUGGGCUUAAAGCGCGUGUAGGCGGGUCGUUAAGUGUCCGAGUGAAAUCCCACGGCUCAACCGUGGAACUGCCGGGCAUACUGGCGAUCUUGAGGCAUUCAGGGGCGAGCGGAACAAAUGGUGGAGCGGUGAAAUGCGUAGAUAUUCACAGGAACUCCGGUGGCGAAGGCGGCUCGCUGGACCUUUUCUGACGCUGAGGCGCGAAAGCUAGGGGAGCAAACGGG
rnacentral:rRNA from 1 species